AAGAAAUAUUAGAAUGAUCACAAAUUUUACUCAAAUAUAUGUCAAUUCAACCUUAAUUUAAUUCUAGUUAAAACCCUAUUGAAUUUCACCCAACUUUAGACCAAACCUAAUUAAAUCUUAAUCCCUAAUAAUUCUUAAAUCCUAAGUCAAAUCCUAAACAAAUCUUAAAUUAAACCCUAUUCCAAACCCUAAACCUUAAAUCAAAUCUUAACCAAAUCCUAAUCCAAACCCUAAUCCAAACCCUAGCCAAACCCUAAUCCAAACCCUAAUCCAAAUCCUAAUCCAAAUCCUAAUCCAAAUCCUAAUCCAAACCCUAAUCCAAAUCCUAAUCCAAAUCCUAAACCGAAUCCUAGCCAAACCCUAAUCCAAAUCCUAGUAAUUCCUAUGACAGAUUUAAACCUCAAUAUCUGAUGAAUAAACCAUUGAUCUCAAUUCAAAAUUUGCACACUUCUUUAAAAUCAAAUUCAAAAUAAGCAAAUUAUUUUUUGAGAAGGAUCGGAGUUACCAAAUUGACGAAAACCUCAAAAAUGUGUUUGGGUGUUAGCCGGCCUCCUUCUCCAAUCUUGUUGGCAAUCCUUCCAGAGCCAAUUUCUCUUCUUUGCGCCAUUCGAUUGGUUUCAAAUUUCUCAUGGACAUAAGAAAACAAGUCUAAUAUCCUCUCACAUAAGUUUUACUCCAAUCCAACUAGUAGAUUGCAUGAAAUCUUAAAAACCCUCAUUGGACCUAAAAUUCUACUUUCUUAAACCUCAAUAUCUCUCAGUUCAUUUGUUAGAUCAAGUUGAAAUUCACGACAUAUAUUCAGCACAACUAUAACCAUGAAUCCAAAAAAAUUCAUCCAUAGAUCUAUAACAAAACUCUCGAAAUCACUCAAAACAUAAAUCCUAUUUUAUUUCAUAAAACCCAAGUCAUUUGAAAAGAAACUCAACUUUGCAAAGCUCUUUCAAAUUCAUAUCAACUCCAAAUCACCCAAUAUCAACGCCCAUAGAAACCUUAUCCAACCUUCUCACCAACUCCACUCUCCGAUUUGCCAAAGAGUCCCGGAGUCAUCGUCGAGACUCGGUUUUGUGCCUUAGGAUCUGAUUUCGACACUGGUUCAUAUCCGGCCCUCUCCGGGUAUCAAUAUCUAUUUUUUCUAAGUAACUUAUUUCUAGAAUUUACUCUUAACUUUGUUCUAAGGAUUCCUAUAUCAUUUAUUUUCCCAAUCUACUUUGAUUUGCCUUACUUAUGGUACUACAAAGUAAGUAGAAGUCACCUUUCUAAAAGGCAGCAUUGGUACCUUUUAAUUUUUCUACCCCUUUGGCUAUUAACUAUAUUUCUAAGAAUAUUUGUUCUAAUACUUUGAACUAAGAUCUCUUAAAUUAUAAUAAUCUCUACACUCUUUUACCUAUUAAUCAUGUUACAUCACGACAACGUCAGCCAUGGUCUUCAGUUUCCAUGGACUUCAUUACAGACCUACCGCCAUCGAAUUCAUUUGACAAUAUCUUUGUUGUGGUAGAUUGGCUUACAAAGAUGGUACACUUUGUUCCUUGCAAGAAAAUAUCGUCAAGCAAAGACACAGCAAGAUGCUUCCUUGAUAGUUUGUAUCAAUAUCAUGGUUUAUCAGAUGAUAUCAUAUCGGAUCAAGGAACCCAAUUCGUAUCAAAGUUUUAGAGAUCUCUCUUUGAGAUAUUAAAGGUGGAUAUCAAGCUUUCUUCCGCUUUUCAUUCUCAAACUGACGGCCAAACAGAACGGGUGAAUCAAACUUUGGAGUAGUAUUUAUGAUGCAGUAUCAACUAUCAACAAGAUGAUUGAACUGCAUACAUAUCAUUAGCCAAGUUUGCAUAUAACAACACCCUUCAUGCGUCGACUCAACAAACACUAUUCUUUUUCAACUAUGGAUAUCAUUUAAAGCUUGAUUUGUUGAGUUUGUCAACUAAUAACAACCUGGCAGCUGAAGAAUUUGUGAAACAACUAUCAGAGCUUUAAAAAAAUUCAAUUGCAAACUGCCCAAGAAGCUUACAAGGUAUCCGCAAACAAAUUUUGGAAUCAAGUACCUACUUUCAAAAUUAAAAAUAAAGUAUGGCUACUUCAAUGGAAUAUCAAAACCAAGCAGCCAUGUGAUAAAUUGGACUACCAGAGAUUGGGACCAUUUGUCAUCUAGAAGCAAAUGAAUCUAAUGGCAUACCUUUUGGGAUUACUGGCUGCUAUGAAGGUACAUCCAGUCUUUCAUGUUUCUUUGUUGGAGCCUUAUUGAGAGUCAUCUUUUCCUAGAAGAGUGCAAUUUCUGCCACCUAGUAUUGAAUUUGAGAACCACGAGGAAUACGAGGUAGAAUAGGUAUUAGAUUUGCAAUGUCAGUGGGAGAAAUUUGAGUACCUAGUGCAUUGGAGUGGCUAUGAUAUCAAUGAGCGCACAUGUGAACCAACAAAAAAUCUUAUCAAUGCGUCGCAAAAGGUACAGGAGUUUCAUCGACGCUAUCCUUUGAAACCUAAGCUCUUUUAAUGAAAGUUUUUCAGUAAAGUUCUUUCUCUUUGAAAUCUCUUUAUCCUCGGCCUUACAAAGAAGGGGAAGAAGGAACCUCUAAAAGACAUAGUUAGAGACUAAAAAUAUAUAACGUGAGCACAUUCUUCCAUGUUUAGUGCUUGUAUUUUUUGGUUUAAUAUGGAUAGCCAAGAAAUAGAUACCAUAUCAGUCAUGUCUGCUCAAUCGAGUAUCUCAUUAAAACGGCCCAAAGAUGAAGAACCACCUAUAUUACAAAGAUGACAGAGGAUACCUAAUAACAAGUUGCUAAAGAUUGUGUUUGAGAUAGAACCUGCCUAUGGUGAUCUUUCUGAAGGAGUGUUUACAAGGUAAUUUUACAAUGAAGACACGGAAGUUCAUGCUUGGUUGCAAAUCAAAGGUGUAGGACUUUAUUGUUGGUUACAAGGACUAAUGAAAUACUUGCCUCACGAACAACAAUUGGAGUAUAUUGCAGAUACUAUGUGACAAAUUUUUAACUUCUCACGUUGGUACUGACUCGUAAUAGGAGUGCUUCUCGAAGACCUCAAAGUUAAAGGGGGAGGUGAUAUCUAGUACAUAUACUAGGAAGUUGUAGAAGAUUUUAGAAGGUUCUAGAGAAGCUUUGUAGUUUGUGAAAGUUGCUUGAAAAGCUUCUAUGCUCGUGGAAGCUGCUUGAGAAGCUUCCUAACUCAUAGAAGCUGCUUAAAAAGCUUCCUAGUUUGUGGAAGCUACUUGAGGAGCUUCCUAGCUUGUAGUAUAUAUAGGAGUGUAGACGAGGGGAACCUCAGUCUCAACAACACACCUCUUGAAGCUCUAGCUCACCUCUCUAGUGUUGUUCUUGUACUCAUCUAAUUCAUCUAGUUCUUACCGAUUCUACUUAAGAUUCUUGUUUAGAUUUCCAGUCAAUAUUCUAAAUUCAUGAUACUAGAUAACUUUAUUAAAGUAAUAUGAUUUUAUAAGAAAUAGAAUUUGUAUUGUUACUAAAGACAUGAACUCAAAGAAGAUGCAUAAUCUUGUGAAAUCCAUGUCAAAAGAAAUGUGAAAAAAUAAAAAUAAAGAAGUAUGUAUAUUAAAAAUAAAUUGAAAUGACUAUUGCCAAAAGGUAAAGAAAGUAGAGACUCUUGAAUCUAGACUAGAAGUAAAAAAGAAACUAAUUGGUACCCAAUUCUCGGUUGCAAAUUUGUUACCAAUCGUCUCAUAUCACCAAAAUCUUUGAAGGUACUUUUGAAAGUCAAAACCAAACUGAAAACUUGAAAAUUCAAAUUCCAAGCUCCAACCAUUCAAAUAAGUACAAAUUUUGGAAGUAAAAAACUUACAUCUUUGAUCAUUGUUAUACAAAUUUUCAAUUACAAAUUUAUUACCAAUUUUUUGAUAUUAGUAAAACCUUGGUACAUACUUUAGUAAGUCAAAAUCUAACUUGAAACUUGAAAAUUCAUAUCCCAAGUUCCAGCCCUUCAAAUAAGUUCAAAAUUUGGAAGUAAAAAAAUUUCAACUUUGAACAUCAUUACACAAAUUUUUAAUUAUAAAUUUGUUAUCUAUCAUCUGAUAUUAUCAAAACCGUAGCAAGUACCUUUGAAAGUCAAAACCCUAGAUACCUAAGAACAAAUUUCACCAUUUCUCCCAAGUUAGAGUUUCAAUUGAGAUGAAAUUUUAGACAUAGGCUCUUUGUAUCAUAAGUAACAUGUAUACAAAAAAUAAGUUUCAAAUUCGUCUUGAAGCUUAAGUUCUAGCUUAAAAUCAAAACCCUCUAUUUUUCUAAUUUUUUCAAAAUCAUAGUUUUAUUUUAUUGGUUUUAAUUAGCCAUAUCUCACUCAUUUUAGACUCAAUUUUAUUGAUCCUUGAAUAUAAAAUAUUCAACUUAAAGUCUAUUUUUAAAUACAAUUCCUUGAUUUCUUGCUAGUAUCUUAAAACUCCUAGUAUACAUAGGAAAGUGAUAGUAUAUAUCAAAUUAAUAGCCUAAAUUAAAACAAGCAUAAUCUUCUCAUCCAAGCUCUAAUUCAUACACUUCUUCUACCUAAACUCAUGCCAAGAAGCUCUUCUCUUUGAAAAAUUCUUCCCUACUUACCAAAAAAGAGUUUCUCAUUGCUUUUGAGCUUGCCGAAGAAGUUGCAACCAAGGUCUUUAAAGUCUAAGUCAAAAACUAAUAGUUUAAAGUUAAACAAACACCAAAUCUAAUCCUAUAAGUGAGCACUAUUAAUUUCAGCUGACUAAUGCUAUCCAAACUUCCAUUUAUCUUCAAUAAAAACCUAAAUACAACCUUAAAGUCAAAAUUCUUAUUAUAUCUACAAAUAUAAUUCUGAAUCUACUAAAACCAAAGAUUAGAAAGAAAGUAAAAGGAAUAAAAGAAGUUCUUAAGGCUAAACCAAAGAUAAAGUUAAGGUUAAAGAUAAAAUAAAAUUUAGCCAAAAUUUCAAUAAAUAAAUAAAUAAAUAAAUAAAUAAAAUAAUAAUAAAAGUAAAAAAAAAAAAUCAAGUAAGGUUUCUAUAUAUGAAUGUAUUUACAUCAUGACACUAGUUAGUCAACAAAUUAUGGCUCUUGACUUGAAUUGGUUGGCUAUUCAUUCUCUAUCUCUUUAAUACCAUAAUUAUAUAGAAACUACAAACAAGGAUAGAAAGUAGAAUGUAAUCUUUUUUGAAUUGUAUUUCUUUUAUAGCAAAGAUUUGCUAUCUUUUAUCUUGUUUUUCAUAGAUGUUAUUAAUGAAAAGCUUUGACUUUCUUUGUUAUAUUUGUAAGAUUUUUUGUUGGCUUCCAUGUGCAUUUAUUAAUAUCAUAUGUGCACCAAUGGACAAGAUAUUCCAAUUUCUUUUGGCACCGCUUUGAAUCUAAAACUUCUUCCACUUCAAACUCUUCAUUAUUAUCCACUUCUAUAAAAGGAGGUGGAUCUUGUCUUAUUUUUAGUAUGUUCACAGUCUUGUAUGGUUUAAGAAGAGACAUGUAGAGUAUCAAAUGGAUCUUCAUUGACUCUAGUAGAUGUAAUCCAUAAGUAAUUAGAUUGAUUUGUCCACAAAUUAGAAAAGACUCAAGUUUGUGGUAGUCCAACUUAUUACAAGGACGUGUAGUCUUGAUAUUAUGAUAAAGUAACCAUACCUUGUCACCUACAUUGAAUUGUAGUUGUUUCUUUUGAUAGGCAUCUGCAUUGAUUUUUUGUUAUUCUUGAGCUUCCUUUAAUUGCACCUUCAUUAUUGCAUGUAGUUCUGACAAACGAUUUACAAAAUCUUUCAUUGCAAGAUUGUCAAUUUUUGAAAAGUGAAAAGUAUUAAGUUGUAGAUGAUAACCAUAAUUGAUAUAAAAGAUAUUUUUUACAUAGAAUAAUAUAUCAUUUUAUUAUAAGUAAAGUAUACAAAUUGUAAGAAGAUUGUUCAAUCAUCUUCUUGAUAAUUAAUAGUUUACCUUAAACAUUAUUCCAAAACUUGAUUUAUGUACUAUAUCUGUCGUUUAGUUUGAGGAUGAAAGGCUAAAGAAAGCUUUAUAUCCACCUUUAGAAUCUUAAAAAAGAUUCUUCAAAAUCUUGAUAAAAAUUGAAUCUUUCUAUCGGAUAUAAUAUCUUUUGAUAAUCCAUGAUACUAAUAGAUAUUAUCAAAGAAAAACUUGAUAGUUUCUUUACUUGUGAUAAAUUUUAUAUAUGGUAUAAAAUAUGUCAUUUUGAUAAAAUAAUAUACUAUCACAAAUAUAAAAUCAUAAAAAUCCAAUUAAAAGAUCCAUAAUAAAAUCCAAAGAAAUACAAGACCAUCAUUAUUCUAGAAUAGGUAAUGGUUGAAAAAGUCCAUAAGGUCAAUGAGAAGGAGUUUUUGACCUUGAAAAAAUGUCAUAUAACUGAACAAAGUCUUUUACAGCCUUCUACAUUUGUGGCCAUCAAAAAUCUCUAGAAAUUAGUUCUAAUGUAUUAUUGUAUCCAAAAUAUCAUACUGCUAGAAAGUUAUAACAUGCAUGAAGAAUAUGUAAACGUGCUUCUUCUUUUAAAAUGUAUAGGCAUCUUUUGAAAUAAAGUAGAUUAUACUUGAAUUUGAACUUAGAAGUGUCACAAGACUUAGAAGAAGUAUUUUUGAUAUCAUAAACAAGAGAAUCAAAGAACAUACUUAAUUGAAUUUGCUUAAGAAAAGUUGAAUCAAUAGUCAAUGUUGAUUUUUCUACCCAAAGAUGAAAUUCGUUUAGUUUAAGUAAAAUUAUCUUUUGUUGAUCAAAAGUUUCAUCUCCUUUGUUUGGUGUAAGAUAAAAAAAGUCUAAAAAAUGUAUCAAAUAAAUUUUAUUAUUUUUCUCACUGAUAAAUAAUAUUGAAUUCAAAUCUUGACAAAGACAUGCUCCAACGUGCUUGACAAUAAUUCAAAACAUGUACUGACAUGAAAUAUUUGAGAUUAUUGUCAUUUGUAUAUAUAGUGAAUGGAUUGUAAGGACCUUUUAGAUAAUGACACUAUUUUUGAAAAGAAUCCACAAUUACAAAAAGUUCUUUAUUGUGGAUCUUAUAGUCAAUUUUGGCUAUUGAGAAUUUCUAGGAAUAGAAAGCUUCUAGGUGGAGCUUAUCAUCUUCUCCUAUUUUGUGACAAAACAUCAUUCAUAGCAAAAUUUGAUGCAUCAAUUUCUAUAAAAAAAAUGCCUUGAAAAAGUUGACGUAAUAAAAGUUUGGUGCAAAAAUAAAUGCCAACUUCAAGGCUUCAAAAGAUGCUUUAGCUUUUUAUUCUAAUUAAGUAUGUCUUUACAUGUAAGAUGUGUAAGAAGAGCUCCAAUUUGAAAAAAAAUCUUCAUAAAGAUCCAAUAGUAAUUGGCAAAGCCCAAAAAGUAUUGUACAUCUCUUAUUAUUUUUAUAAUCUUCUAAUCUAUAAUAGUUUGAACCUUCCUUGCAUCUAUCAUAAAUCCUUUGUUUGUAAUGAUAUAUUUGUCAUGAAUUUAGAAUACUCACUAGAAAUCUAAACAAGGAGCUCAAGAAGAAUCAACAAGAACUAGAUUAAUUACAUAAGUACAAGAUCAACACUAGAAAGGUGAGCUAGAGCUCCAAGAGGUGUGUUGUUAAGACCGAGGAUCCCCUCAGUCUCGGCUCCUAUAUAUACUACAAAGUAGGAAGCUUUUCAAGUAGCUUCUACGAGUUAGGAAGCUUCUCAAGCAGCUUCUAUGAGCUAAGAAGCUUCUCAAGCAACUUUCACAAACUACAAAGAGAUUCUAGAACCUUCUAGAAUCUUCUACAACUUCCUAGUGUAUGUACUUGACAUCACCCCUCUUUUAGCUUCGAGGUCUCCGAGAAGCACUCCUAUUGCGAGUCAGUACGAUCGUAAGAAGUUAAAAAUUUGUCACAUAGUAUCUGCAAUAUACUCCAAUUGUUGUUUCCAUGGCAAGUAGUUUAUUGGUCCUUGUAACCAAUGAUAGUAUCCUACGCCUUUGAUUUGCGAUCAAGCAUGAACUUCCGUGUCUUCAUUGUGAAAUUACCUUACAAACACUCCUUCGAGAAGAUCACCUUAGGCAGGUUCUACCUCAAAUACAAUCACUAGCGAUCUGUUACUAGGUAUCCUCUGUCGUCUUUGUGAUAUAGACGGUUCUUCAUCUCGGGGUCGUCUUCAUAAGAUACUUGAUGUCAUAAUCCAUGAAGUCUUGCUUGAGAAUGCUUCAAGCACCUAGCUGUAAAAGAAAGAAUGGAAUUUGCAACAACAAAAUCAUAAUUCUAAUAGAAUACUCACAAUGCUCUCAUUAGACUAUAAUAAUGCUAAGCAAGCUUAAUCAAAUUCAAAAAAAAUCUCAAAGGAAUUUCAAACAAAUAAUAAGAAUUCUUAAAGAAAUAUUAGAAGGAUCACAAAUAUCACUCAAAUACAUCUCAAUUCAAUCUUAAUUUAAUACUAGUUAAAAUCCUAUUGAACUUCAUUCAAACUUUAGGCCAAAAAUAAUUGAAUCUUAAAUUAUAAUAAAAUCCUAAACCCAAAAUCAAACCCUAAAUAAACCUUAAACCAAACCCCAACUAGAUCCUAAAUCCUAGAUCAAAUCCUAAUCCAAAUCUUAAAUCCUAAAUCAAAUCCUAAUCCAAAUCUUAAAUCCUAAAUCAAAUCCUAAUCCAAACCCUAUAUUCUAAAUCAAAUCCUAAUCAAAUCCCAAUAAUUCCUAUAACAGAUUUAAACCUCAAUAACUAAUGAAUAAAUCUUUGAUCUUAAUUCAAAUUUUGCAAACUUCUAAAAAAUUAAGUUAAAAACAAGCACAAAAAAAUUGAAAAGGAUCGGAGUACCAAAUUGACGAUAACCUAAUAAAUGUGCUUGGUAUUGGUCGGCUUGCUUCUCCAAUCUUCAUGCUAAUCUUCCAGAGCCGAUAUCUCUCUUUUGCACCUUUCGAUUGAACUCAAAAUUCUUAUACACAAAGAAAAUUAAGUCUAAAAUCCUCUCAUAUAAGUUUUAUUCUAAUCCAAGUAGUAGAUUGCAAGAAAUCUUAAAAACCCUCACUAGACUUAAAAUUCUACUUUCUGAGAUCUUGAUCCACUUAAACCUCAAUAUUCCUCAAUUCAAUCGUUAGAUCGAGCUCAAAUUCACAAAACAUAUUAAACAAAAAUAUAACCAUAAAUCCAAAAAAUUUCAUCCAUAGAUCUAUUACAAAACUCUUGAAAUCACUCAAAAUGUAAACCCUGUUUUAUUUCAAAAAAUCCAAGUCAUUCAAAACAAAUCUUGAUUUUGCAAAGCUUUUACAAAGUCAUAUCAAUUCCAAUCAUCCAAAAUCAAUGCCUAUAAAAACCUUAUCCAAUCUUCUAUCAAACCCCACUCUCCGAUGUACAAAAGAGUCUUAAAGUCGUCGUCAAGACUUGAUUUUGUGCCUCAGUGUAUGAUUUCGACCGUGGUUCAUAUCUUAGCCUCUCUAGGUAUCAACAUCUAAUUUUUUUAAGUAAUUUUUACUAGAAUUUACUCUUAACUUUGUCCUAAAGAUGUCUAUAUCAUUUAUUUUUCCAAUCUUCUUUAUUUUGUCUUAUUUUUGGUUCUACAAAGUAAAUAGAAGCUAUUUUUUCUAAAAUGGCGCCAUUACUACUAAAAGUUGUAAUACCUUCCUAACUUUUAUUCAUAUUUUUUUACUUUUUCUUUUAAUUUGGCUCUUUUAUAAUAAGAUCCAUAUUAUCAUCUUUUACUAUAUAGUCAUGUUACAACAUGACAUCGGUUGAGAAGACAUGACUGGUAUGGUAUCUAUCUCUUGGCUAUCUAAAUCAGACCGAAAAAUAUAAGCACUAAACAUAGAAGAAUGGGCUCAGGUUACAAAUUUAUAGUCUCUAUCUAUAUCUUUUAGAAGUUCCUUCUUCCUCUUCUUUGUAAGGCAGAGGAUUAAGAGACUUCAAUGAGAAGGAACUUCACUGAAAAACUUUUAUCGAGAGAGCUUAGGUUUCUAAGGAUAGCGUCGAUAAAAAUCUUGUAUCUUUUGCGAUGCGUUGAUAAGAUUUUUUGUUGGUUCUCAUGUGCGCUCAUUGAUAUCAUAGCCGCCUCAUUGCACUAAGUACUCAAAUUUCUCCCACUUACAUUGCAAAUCUAAUACCUUUUCUAUGUCACGGACACAAAAAUACAGACUCGAGAUCUAAUAAGAAAUUCAAGAAGAACUGGCAAGAACAAGAUUAAUCAGAUGAAUACAAGAACAACACUAGAGAGAUGAACUAGAGCUCCAAGAGAUGUGUUGUUGAAACUGAAGAACUCUUCAACCUCGAUUCCAAUAUAUACUCCUAUUUAGGAAGCUUCUAGAAGGUUCCACAGACUUGUUUCUAGAAGGUUCUAGAAACUUGUCUCCAGAAGGUUCUAAGGACUAUGUCCCUAACAUCUUCUACCAACUAGAUAGCUUCUAGAAGGUUCUAGAGACUUGCUUCUAGAAGGUUCUAGAAACUUGUCUCUAGAAGAUUCUAGAAACUUGUCUCUAGAAGGUUCUAAGGACUAUGUCCCUAAUAUCACCCCCUCCUUUAGCUUCGAGGUCUCUGAGAAGCAAUGUUGUUGUUAAUCAAUACCAACGCAAGAAAAUAAAGAUCUGUUGCAUAACGUCUGCUAUGAACUCCAACUUUUGUUCACGAAGCAAGUGAUUCAUUGGCCCUUGAAGCCAACGGUAGUGGCCGGCGCCUUCGACUUCUGACCAAGCAUGAACUUCCGUGUCCUCAUUGUAAAAUUGUCCUGCAAAUACGCCUUCUGGAUGACCAUCAUAAGCAGGCUCGAACUCAAAUACAAUCACCAAUGAUUGGUUACUUGGUAUCCUCCGUUGUCAUCGUGGUGUACGUAGUUCUUCAUCUCAGGGUCGCCUUCGUGAGCUAGUUGGUUGAGAUAAUCUGACUGGCAUAGUAUCUAUCUCUUGGCUAUCCAUAUCAGAAGACCAAACUAUGGCUACUGAAAAAAUUCUACUUUAUCUUGGAGAAAACAACUACAUCACUACGAAUUUUGGUAGUGUUCUCCCCCUUUCUUAUAUUCUUGGGUGAACAAGCUUCAAAAGGAAGCUAUCUUCAAACCGGCUUAGAUUUAUGAGGAUGUUGUUGAUGAAACUUCUGUAUCUUUUGCUGCGCAUUGGCAAGAUUUUCAGCUGGCUCCUACGUUCGCUCAUUAAUGUCGUAGCUGCACCAAUGAACAAGAUACUCCAACUUGUCCCACCUUCAUCAUGAAUCCAGCACCUUUUCAACCUUGUAUUCCUCGUGGUUCUCGAUCUCAAUACUAGGUGGCAGACAUUGCACUCUUCUAGAAAAAGACGACUCUCGAUAAGGCUCCAACAGAGAAAUAUGAAAGCCUGGAUGUACCUUCAUAGAAGCUGGUAAUUCCAGACGAUACGCCACUAGUUUGAUUUGUUUCUGGAUGAUAAAUGGUCCCAAUCUUUGAUAGUCCAACUUAUCAUAUAGUCGCUUGGUCUUGAUAUUUCGUCGAAGAAGCCAUGCUUUAUCUCCAAUUUUGAAAGUAGGUGCUUGAUUUUGAAAUCUAUCUGCAGACGUCUUGUAGGAUUCUUGAGCGGAUUGUAAUUGAAGCUUCAAUGUAUUUUAAAGCUCUGAUAGUUGUUUUGUAAAUCUUUCAGUUGCUGGAUUGUUAUUUGUUGAUGGACUCAAUAAAUCAAGCUUUGGAUGAUACCCAUAGUUGGAAAAGAAUGGUGUGUAUUGAGUCGACGCAUGGAGGGUGUUGUUAUAUUUAAACUCGGCUAGUGACAAAUAUGUGGUCCAAUCGUCUUGUUGAUAGUUGAUGCUGCAUCAUAAGUAUUGUUCCAAGACUUAGUUCACCAGUUCCGUUUGGCAGUCAGUUUGAGGAUGAAAAGCUGAAGAAAGCUUUUUAUCCACUUUCAGUAUCUCAAAGAGAGAUCUCCAAAACUUUGAUACGAAUUGGGUUCCUCGAUCUGAUACGAUAUCAUCUGAUAGUCUAUGAUAUCAAUACACAUUAUCGAGAAAGAGCUUUGCUGUGACUUCACUGGACGAUGUCUUCUUGCAAGGGACAAAGUGUGCCAUCUUUGUAAGUUGAUCUACCACGACAAAGAUGCUAUCAAAUGAGUUCGAUGAUGGCAGGUCCGUGAUGAAGUCCAUAGAAAUUGAAGACCAUGGUCGAUGUGGAAUCGACAAUGGUUGUAGGAGUCCAUAAGGGCGAUGCCGAGGAUUCUUGAAUCUUGAACAGAUGUUACAGAAGAGGACAAAAUCUUUCACAUCUUUCCACAUUUGGGGCCACCAAAAAUCUUGAGAAAUAAGCUUCAAGGUCUGGUUGAAUCCAAAAUGUCCUGCAGUUGGAAAAUUGUGGCCAGAUUCAAGAACUCGGAGUCGUACUAGUCCUUUUGGGAUAUAUAACCGCUCCUCAAAGUAUAAAAGAUCUCCCUCAUCCUUGAACUUAUCAUCAUUGGCACGCUGCUUGAUAUCAAUGGCUACUGAAUCUUUAAUGGUCAUGGCACGUACCUGAUUCAGGAAGUCAGCAUCAAUUGAUACAAUAGUAGUGCAAAGCUGAAAUUGCUCUGGCUUCAAUAAUGUCAUACAUUGUUGAUCAAACGCUGCUUCUCCAGCCUUUGGUACAAGAUACGAUCUCCUCGAUAAGACAUCAGAUAGUCCUUGCUGCUUUUCAGGUCGAUAAGUGAUAACAAAAUAGAACCUAGAUAGCAACAUACUCCAUCGAGCUUGACGUAGAUUUAGAACUUGAGCUGACAUGAAAUACUCCAAAUUCUUGUGAUCCAUAUAUACGGUCACUGGGUGUGCAGCUCCUUCAAGAAAGUGACACCAUUCUUGGAAAGAAUCCACUAUAGCAAGAAGUUCCUUAUCGUGGAUCUCAUAAUUGAUUUCACCAGCAGAGAAUUUUCAAGAAUAGAAUGCAAUUGGAUGGAGCUUCUUGUCUUCUUCCAUUUGUGAAAGUACACCUCCCAAAGCAUAAUCCAAAGCAUCAGUUUCUAAAUAAAAGGCCUUUGUAAAGUCUGGAUGUACCAAGAUUGGAGCCGUAGUAAAUGCCAUCUUCAGGUCUUGAAACGCCUUCUCCACUAGAGAUCCCCAUUCCAGCUUAUCCUUGCAUGUCAACCGAGUGAGAGGAGCAGCAACUUGAGAGUAAUUCUUGAUGAAGAUUCGAUAGAAGUUGGUAAAAUCAAGAAAGCAUUGAACGUCUCUAACCAUCUUCGGAACCUCCUAGGAUACGAUUGCUUCCACCUUCUUGGGGUCCAUCUUCAAGCCUUCCUUAGUCGCAACGAACCCCAAAAACUCCAUUUCUAUUUGGUGAAAUAAACACUUCUCCAAUUUGGCAUAUAGUCCUCGCUCGCAUAGUUUCUCCAAGACCAAACGAACGUGCUUUUCAUGCUCUCCUUUAUUUUUGGAGAAUAUCAAAAUAUCAUCCAAAUAGAUGACAACAAAAUCGUCAAGGUGCUCUCAAAAAAUGUCAUUCAUCAUAUGUUGAAAGACCGCUAGAGUAUUGAUAAGACCAAAGGGCAUGACAUUAUACUCAAAAUAGCCAUAUCUUAUACGGAACGCUGUCUUCCACUCAUCUCCUUCCUUGAUUCGUACGAGGUUGUAAGCUCCCCUUAGAUCAAUUUUUGUAAAGAUCCUUGUAUGUCCAAGUUGUCCUAAUAGACUAGAAAUCAAGGGUAACGGAUAACAAUUCUUCUUUGUUACCUUGUUGAGGCGUCAAUAGUCCACGCAUAUCCGCAACGAGCCAUCUUUCUUCUUCACAAAUAAGAUGGGUGCUCCAGCUGACGAUUUUGAAUGACGGAUGAAGUUCUUGGUUAGAUUCUCGUCGAUGUACUUCCGCAACUCUGCCAACUCUAUCUGCGAUAGAUUGUAGAUUGGGCCAAAAGGCAGUUGUGCUCCUUCCUGCAAGUCUAUGGUGCAAUUAUAUGGUUGGUGUUUCGGUAGCAUGUCGGCAUUCUUCUUUUGAAACACGUCUUUAAAAUCCUUAUACUGCUUAGGUAUACUUGUUGUCGAGAUCUUCUCCCCGGUAGUUGGAGCCGCAUAAAUGAUAAACAAUGUACCUUCCUUGGACAAUCUUAUAAACACUCUUGCUCCAAUGAAUAAGGAUUUUUUUAUUUGAGGUUUUUUACUACGCUUGCUCUUGGAUGGUUUUGUGGGAAAGGUCAUCUUCCGCAACCUCUAAUCUAUGGAUGGGUUAUGCUUUUUCAACCAAGAAAGACCAAGAAUAAUAGGAUUUGAUGGGGUUCUAAUAAUAUUAAAAAUAAUAUGACCACUAUGGCCCUUAAAUGUCACUUCUAUAGGUUUUGAUUCAUGGAUGAGACUACCAGACAAUAAAGGUCGCCCAUCUAUGACCUCAACGUGAACAUGUUUGGAUUUUUGUACUAAAGGGAUCUUAUGAUACUUCGCAAAUUCUUCGUCUAAGAAAUAAGCAGAUGCUCUUGAAUCUAAUAAUACUAAGGUUCCUAGUUUUUGAGGGCCAAUAAGCAAAGGGAUUGUAAAGCAAAGGGCAGGUUGAGCGAAAAAAAAAGAAGUUGGUUGUUGUUGCGAUAUUUCACUAUCCAGCCGCAUGGUUCCAAUUGUAGCUGGGCAUCCUUGUUUUCUUGAACAAACGUGCCCCUAGUCCUGACAAUACGUCAAUUUUGCUUCUUGGGGCAGUUUUCAACUUUGUGGCGUUCUUUACCGCAAUACAAGUAUAGACCUUCUUCCAUACGUUGCUUUUUUUCUUCUAGGAUAAGAGAUUUGACACGUACCGCAUCAAUUUGCAUGUCUUCUACCUCUGAAAGUGUAUUCACACUGCUUGCCGAUAUAGUUUGGACAUGGCGGCGUUGGAAUAGGCGAUUAUCGCACUUCACAGCUUGGCUAAUAGCUUCAUUGAGUAUUUGUAGAUCAGGAAGAGUUAAUAGCAAAUCCUUCAUAUCAUCCCUUAAACCCCAAUAGAAUUGACUCAUCAACGCUUCUUCGUUCCAAUUGAUGUCACAUGCUAAUUGCUUGAAGUCUGAUGCAUAGACUGAUGUAGAGCGCAUCCCUUGUCGUAGUGAUCGGAUCUUUGUUGUAGCCCAUCGAAUCUUGUCGUGUUCACCAAAUGCUUCCGCAAACGUCUCCAAAAAGGUUUCAAAGUUGUUUAGUAUGGACGAUUGUUUCUCAAACAAAGGAGCAAAUCAUGAUAGAGCUUGUCCUGUAAAUAAGGUUCCAACAAGUCCAACACGUGACUCCUCCAUUAGAUAGUAUUCGGGCUGUAAAACUGUUAUUAACUUGAUUUGAUUGACGAAUGCUCGAAACUUGGAACACGUACCAUCGAACUUUUCCGGAAGGCUAACUCGGGACUCUAAAUGUUGUAGAAUUAGCUGUGCUUGUCGAACCUAAGGCAAAGUUGCUUCUCUAAGUGUAGAAGUUUGAGGCUGGUGCAACCUAGAUUGUGCCAUCCCAGAUACUUCAUCAUUAUGAAGCCUUACCACGACUCCUUCAAUCUCUAUAGUUCUUUGUGAUAACGUAGCAAGGGCAUUCAUGAUAGCAUCCAACUUGGACUCUGAACUUUCCAUCAUACUAAUGCCUUGGCCUCUGGCCAUUCUAAGAAAAGGACAGAAAUGACUCUACAAGAAGACAGUAUUGGUUUAGAGGAGGGUACUGUGCAACCUCUAAAAUUCCUUAAGAACUUCAAGAAAAGGGGUAAUCCACUCUCUCCAAGAAGAAUAAGACUCCAAUAUUGUAACAAAAGAAGUAUCAGUUUAAAGGAGGGUAAUCCGUAACCUCUAAAAUGCUAGUACACUUUUAAGCAGAGGGGUAGUCCGCACUCUAACAAAGAAGAAACUAACUCUGAUAUCUGAGGUGAGUGAUGUCUCGACAAACUGUCACGGACACAGAAAUACAGACUUGAGAUCUAACAAGAAGUUUAGGAAGAACUGGCAAGAACUAGAUUAAUCAGAUGAAUACAAGAACAACACUAGAGAGGUGAGCUAGAACUCCAAAAGAUGUUUUGUCGAGACUGAAGAAUUCUUCAGCCUCGAUUCCAAUAUAUACUCCUAUUUAGGAAGCUUCUCAAGGAACUUCUACCAACUAAGAAGCUUCUAGAAGCUUCUAGAAACUUGCCUCUAGAAGGUUCUAAGGACUAUGUCUCUAACAUCUUCUACCAACUAGGAAGCUUCUAGAAGGUUCUAGAAACUUGUCUCUAGAAGAUUCUAAGGACUAUGUCCCUAACAUCCUACCUCGUAUUCCUCUUGGUUCUCAAUUUCAAUACUAGGUGGCCAUCUCGUAAUACGUGAAGUCUUGCUUGAGAAUGCUCUUGGCACUUGACUGUAGAAGGAAGAAUGGAAAUUGCAAUAACAAAAUCCUAAUUCUAAUAGAAUACUAACAAUGCUCUAAUUAGACCAUAAUAAUGCUAAGCAAGCUUAAUCAAAUUCAAAAAAAAUCCCAAAGAAAUUUCAAACAAACAAUAAGAAUUUUUAAAGAAAUAUUAGAAGGAUCACAAAUAUCACUCAAAUACAUUUCAAUUCAAUCUUAAUUUAAUUCUAGUUGAAAUCCUAUUGAACUUCAUUCAAACUUUAGGCCAAAAUUAAUUGAAUCUUAAAUCCUAAUAAAAUUCUAAAUCCUAAAUUAAACCCUAAAUAAACUUUAAAUCAAAUCCUAACUAAAUCUUAAACCAAAUUCUAACCAAAUUCUAAACCCUUAAUCAAACCCUAACCAAAUCCUAAUCUCAAUCCUAAAUCCUAAACCAAACCCUAAUCAAAUUCUAAACCUUAAAUAAAUCCUAAACUCCAAAUCCUAAACCAAAUCCUAAAUCCUAAAUCAAAUCCUAAAUCAAAAUCCUAAAUCCUAAAUAAAUACUAAAUUCCAAACCCUAAACCAAAUCCUAAAUCCUAAAUCAAAUCCUAAA
rnacentral:lncRNA from 1 species